GUCCGCCAAGGUACGGGAAAACCGUGUGCCUGGUGGGGAGAGAAGCAUAAAGAGUAAUCUUAGUGACUAUCUCAG
rnacentral:autocatalytically_spliced_intron from 1 species